rnacentral:rRNA from 1 species
GACGAACGCUGGCGGCGUGCUUAACACAUGCAAGUCGAACGGGAUUUAGUAGACAGAAGCCUCGGCUAAAGAUUACUAAUGAGAGUGGCGAACGGGUGAGUAACGCGUGAGCAACCUGCCUAUGACAGUGGGAUAGCCUCGGGAAACCGGGAUUAAUACCGCAUAAAAUCGUAGAAACACAUGUUUCAACGGUCAAAGAUUUAUCGGUCAUAGAUGGGCUCGCGUCUGAUUAGCUAGUUGGUGAGAUAACAGCCCACCAAGGCGACGAUCAGUAGCCGGUCUGAGAGGAUGGACGGACACAUUGGAACUAAGACACGGUCCGAACUACUACGGGAGGGAGCAGUGGGGGAUAUUGCACAAUGGGGGAUAUCCAGAUGCAGCGACGCCGCGUGAAUGAAUAAGGUAGUCGUAUCGUAAAGUUCUGUCCUAUGGGAAGAUAAUGACGUUACCAGAGAAGAAAGCUCCGGCUAAAUCCGUG